AGGCUCUGGGAGUCAUUCUGGAGGAGGAAACAUCAAUCAGCCAGCUGCACCGCCUCUUCAGCAGCCUCCUGUCAUUGGGACACAGAAAUCAUGUGGAGAAACACCUCAGGCGGUUACCCAAAGCCAGACUUAAAGAAUCCUUCGACACUAAGAAGAGCAAAAAGAAAGAUGGAAGCUCCUCUGUGGUGCCAUCACGACAAGCCAGCUUGGACCAAACUCCCCCACCUGCCGUCCAGGGCGCCCCGUCCACCACGGAUGAGCCCUCAGUGGGGAUUCAUGACAUUCAAGACUGGAGGAGGCUGAACCCUGAGCUCCCCUCCCCUGAGCUCAUCAUCAAAGAAGACGCUGCCCUGCGAGAUGGACCAGCCGUCACUCAGUGUGUGUCAGCGUGUGUGGGUCUGCUGCUGAAAAGCAAAGGCAUCAACCACAUUCAUCAAAUGUUUAUCAGAGGGAUGAAACCAGAAGUCUUUACAGACCAGAGCCUGCCUCCAGCUCAGAACCAGUACCAGUGUCUCUGUGAGGUUCUGUUCAGCAUGGUUACACAGAGGAGUCCAACUCGGGUCUUCAGGGGAGGAACUUUAACAGGACUCUAGAGUCCCAUUUCCACCGAAAAGAGAAGAUCUGAGUACCCAAGUCUGGUGUCCCACUGGUCCAAGUCUGUCUGGAUUUCCAUGGAACUCUUGUGGAUUUUUUGAGGCCUUUUUUGCCAGAUUCUUGGUUAAAAGAAAUACUCUGAUAACUUUUUUACACUGAGACAGUUUUGGAUAUUUUCCUUUUUCUCCCCCCAUUUUUUGUCUCGGUCUUAUUGAAGGACUCUCAGCUGCAGGUUUGGGUUUUAGGACAGCACAGGGAGGGGGGGGGGGGUAACACUUUGUGUCUUUUCUUGUUGCACUAUGACCUGUGAGUGUUACUGCCGUCAUUAAAGCUGACCCAUGGCUUCUCCGCACUCAGAUGAUUUUGUAUUUAUUUUUUGUCAAACGCUACAUCCUCAGCUGCUUCUGAAGUACCGUCCACGCACCCCAACCCAGAUGUUACAGAGGACAAACCCUGGGGCUUUGCUGGCUCCGAUCAUUUCACUUACUGACCCACAGAACCAGGAUCUGGGUGUGCUGCCGCAGACACCUCUGCUGACCCUUAGCGGUGUUUCAACUACUACUGUGAACUUUUAUGAUUCUUUCUUUGUAUAAUUCAAUUAUGCUUUUAAUAUAUGGGAAUUCUGUAUGUAUACAUAUAUGAAUAUACACUUACCAUGAUGACGUUGUGAAUUUUGUUUAUGUUCUUUGUAAUUUCCAACACUCGCAUAAACAUUUAGCUCACAUUUAUUUGGCUGGAUCACAAAGUAAUUAUGUUGAUGUACCAGUUAAGCAUAAAUAUGAACACUCACUGGCCAUUUUAUUACACACCUGUCCAACUGCUCGUUAAUGCAAAUUUCUAAUCAGCCAAUCAUAUGGCAGCAACUUACUGCAUUUAGGCAUGUAGACAUGGUCAAGACGGUCUGCUGCAGUUCAAACCAGCAUCAGAACGAGGAAGAAAGGUGGUUGGAGUGCUUUUGAAUGUGGCAUGGUUAUUGGUGCCAGACUGGCUGAUCUGAAGAUUGAGAACUGUGGGAGGAAAUGCUUUGUUGAUGCCAGAGGUUCAAGAGAAUGCUCAGACUGGUUGCAGCUGAUAAAAAGGCAACAGUAACUCAAAGAACCAAUGGUUACAAACGACGUCUACAGAAGAGCAUCUCUGAACGUACAACACGUCCAACUUUGAGCCUAAAGGGCUACGGCAGCAGAAGACCCCACUGGGAAUCAUGCCAUAACAGAUAACAAUCACCAGAUCUCAACCCAAUAGAGAAGCAUUGGGAUGUGAUGGAACGGGAGAUCAGCAUCCUUGAUGUGCAACUGACAAAUCUGCAGCAACGGUGUGAUGCUAUCAUGUCAACAUGGACCAAACUCUGAGGAAUGUUUUUGUACCUUGUUGACUCAAACAAAGGAUCAAGGCAUCUCUGAAGGCAAAAGGGGUCCAACCCAGUUCUAGCAACCUCAUAAAGUGGUCAGUGAACGUAUUUAUAAGCAGAAAAAUGAAUUUGUUAGAAUAUUAGCAGACAUAAUAAGAUUCUGACAAUCCUGUUUUGACAUCUUUGUGGUCCCAUUAACACCUGCUGCUGCACAUGGACAAAAAACCACUAACCUUGCUACAACCUAAGCUACACCAAAUGACGCCACAUCAAUAUAUUGGAAAAUUAGCCAACCAUUCUAACAUCCACUGGAUCAUUAUUUUGCAUUUGCUCACAUAACAUCUAGCCAAGUACCUUUUUGCAACACUCUUAAACUCUACAUGCCAUGAGUAACUAACUUACAACUUACUUUUUUAAUCUAUUACUCAAUUCAAUUUAGCAUCACUUUAAAACGGAAAAAACAUUGUAGAACAAAUAUUUGUAUUUAUUUAAUUGGGAAUAAAUUCAGACAUGAAGGGGUUAACCUGAAUUCUCCAAUAGCAUUUACAACAAAAGAUGCCUCUUGGACGAGGAGCAGACGGUGUUAUAGAUAAACCUUAAAGUCCAGUUUCCCUGGAGAACAGAACAUCUUGCAACAGUACCACUGUGCAUCACCACAAUGCCUGCAGGUGAAAAAAAUAAAAAUGUGGAAAAAAUUCAUACAUAAAAGAGAUAUUGAAAAAUUGCUGAAAAGGCAAGUCAAGUGGGUUGAGGCUCAGGGAUGGAAAAGGUGACAGGGUUCUCCUCAGGUCAUUCGUGAGAAUAAGUAGGGGGGAGGAGCUACUGGAAGGGAGGAGGGGUCGCAGAGAUCACCUGACGAAGGAGAG
rnacentral:lncRNA from 1 species